UACGGGGGGGGCAAGCGUUGUUCGGAAUUACUGGGCGUAAAGGGCUCGUAGGCGGCCAACUAAGUCAGACGUGAAAUCCCUCGGCUUAACCGGGGAACUGCGUCUGAUACUGGAUGGCUUGAGUUUGGGAGAGGGAUGCGGAAUUCCAGGUGUAGCGGUGAAAUGCGUAGAUAUCUGGAGGAACACCUGCGGCGAAGGCGGCCUUCUGGACGAUGACUGACGCUGAGACGCGAAAGCGUGGGGAGCAAACAGG
rnacentral:rRNA from 1 species